rnacentral:rRNA from 1 species
GACGAACGCUGGCGGCGUGCUUAACACAUGCAAGUCGAACGGAAAGGCCCUGCUUUUGUGGGGUGCUCGAGUGGCGAACGGGUGAGUAACACGUGAGUAACCUGCCCUUGACUUUGGGAUAACUUCAGGAAACUGGGGCUAAUACCGGAUAGGAGCUCCUGCUGCAUGGUGGGGGUUGGAAAGAUUCGGCGGUUGGGGAUGGACUCGCGGCUUAUCAGCUUGUUGGUGGGGUAGUGGCUUACCAAGGCUUUGACGGGUAGCCGGCCUGAGAGGGUGACCGGCCACAUUGGGACUGAGAUACGGACCAGACUCCUACGGGAGGCAGCAGUGGGGAAUAUUGCACAAUGGGCGGAAGCCUGAUGCAGCAACGCCGCGUGCGGGAUGACGGCCUUCGGGUUAUAAACCGCUUUCGCCUGUGACGAAGCGUGAGUGACGGUAAUGGGUAAAGAAGCACCGGCUAACUACGUG